GGCACACUGCUAGCUCCUGAGGAGGGAGAGCCCGCACACCAGGAUCCGGAGGCCAGCCAAACCGGGACACUCCCUGAUACCCCGAUGGAGGACAUCACAGAAGGAGAACAGACCGGAGGACCCCCCUCAGCAGAGAAACUGGCAUUUAUGACACUUCAUCAUGUCCUUUCCUGGCCUCUGCCACUGAAUGCCUCCAUGCAUUAAGCUGUUCCCUAUCAAUGCGGGAGGACGGCAUGAGCUUGGAAAACAUGUCAUUGCGAUAUAGACCAGGCAUUGAGGAAAUCCAAAACAGACCAGAGGGCUGAGAAGACCAGACCUGGAGAAAAGAAGUCGUCCAUAGAAUUGGUAACCACCUUCUCUGUUUGCCAAGCAGGAAUUGUGGAA